AUACGUAGGGGGCAAGCGUUGUCCGGAAUUAUUGGGCGUAAAGGGCGCGCAGGCGGCCAAUUAAGUCGGAUGUGAAAGGCCACGGCUCAACCGUGGAGUUGCAUCCGAAACUGGUUGGCUUGAGUUCAGGAGAGGAGAGUGGAAUUCCCGGUGUAGCGGUGAAAUGCGUAGAGAUCGGGAGGAACACCAGUGGCGAAGGCGGCUCUCUGGCCUGACACUGACGCUGAGGCGCGAAAGCGUGGGUAGCGAACAGGAUUAGAUACCCUGGUAGUCCACGCCGUAAACGAUGAGUGCUAGGUGUUGGGGGCUUCCACGCCCUCUGUGCCGAAGGAAACCUAUUAAGCACUCCGCCUGGGGAGUACGGCCGCAAGGCUGAA
rnacentral:rRNA from 1 species